rnacentral:rRNA from 1 species
UACGUAGGGGGCGAGCGUUGUCCGGAAUCAUUGGGCGUAAAGCGCGUGUAGGCGGCCCGGUAAGUCCGCUGUGAAAGUCCAGGGCUCAACCCUGGGAUGCCGGUGGAUACUGUCGGGCUCGAGUCCGGAAGAGGCGAGUGGAAUUCCUGGUGUAGCGGUGAAAUGCGCAGAUAUCAGGAGGAACACCAAUGGCGAAGGCAGCUCGCUGGGACGUGACUGACGCUGAGACGCGAAAGCGUGGGAGGCAAACAGG